UACGUAGGGGGCAAGCGUUGUCCGGAUUUAUUGGGCGUAAAGAGCGUGUAGGCGGCCAGGUAGGUCAGCUGUGAAAACUCGAGGCUCAACCUCGAGACGCCGGUUGAAACCAUCUGGCUAGAGUCCGGAAGAGGUGAGUGGAACUCCUAGUGUAGAGGUGGAAUUCGUAGAUAUUAGGAAGAACACCAGUGGCGAAGGCGGCUCACUGGUCCGGUACUGACGCUGAGGUGCGAAAGCGUGGGGAGCAAACAGG
rnacentral:rRNA from 1 species